UCUCUCUCUGUCGGCAGCCACCACCAACACACAGCUUCUCUCCGCUCUGCUUUUCCCUCUCUACCGAGCAAACCAGCAGGCAGCAACACCCAGCGCUGCAUCCGUUCUCACUCUCCUCCUUUUCCUUUGCUGUCCACUCCAGUCGAGCAAGCACGGCAGCCACAUCCUCCUCUCAGCUCUAACAGGCAGCAGCGCCACAACUCUACUCCGUUUCUCCCUAGCAACACAAGCCGGCGGCAGCACCCUCUCCCCUCAGCUCCACCUCCCUCUCUCCAGCGCCAUCCUCCUCACAGCAGCGGGCCAGGCCCCAGCGGCGGCCGGCGGCCAGGCGCCCAAGCCUGUGGCAGGGCUCGCGCGGCCAGGCCAACGGCUGGCAGCAGCCAGGCUCCGGGCGACCGGGCCAGCGGCCACGAGGCAACGGCGGCGCGGCCAGGAAUGACGCGCGGCCGGUGCGGCCAAGCAGCGUCGUCGCCAGCGCGCCGAUGUCAGCCCCGGCGCUGGCGGUGGACCGCGACGUCAUCCUUGCCCCGCAAGUGUUCGGCAAAGUGCCUCAACGGCCUCCUGAAGCUACUGCCCUACACGUGUUCGACGAAAUGCUCGGACGACGUCCGCGAGGUGAAGCCGAAGUCACGCCGGGAACGACGACGACGCCGCGCGGCCGCAAGGACGAGGAACUGAGGUGGAGAAGACGCCGAUGAGCUCGAAGCCGGUGCUGCGCGUCUACGGUGACGACGACCCCCCUGGCGCUCCACCUGACCUCGCCGACGAACCGAAAGCCCGCCAUCCAUAACCACGAGUCGGACCAUCCCUACGCCUUCGACGCCGUUGCCGGGUACCGCGAGCACAGGCCUGCCUGCACCGCACCGAGCCGUCACGGCCACGCCUCGCCGAGGCGUCGCUACCCUGUCCUCUCCAAGCCCCACGACGACGAGCCGUUCGAUACUGUGCCGGAUGCUGAGCGAGGCUCUGACCUAAUACUCGAGAACAUGAAUGAUCAGCAACAAGGCAAGUACCCCCUUCAUCUUUGCUCCUAUUUAAAUGCCUAAGCCUGUGAUUUAUAUGCAUGCGAUGAUGAUUUUAUGAGUUCAAAUAUCAUUUUGUGUCGCGUAGACAUGUCCUACUUUAAUGCAUAUACCUGCCUUGUUAUUUUAAACCUUUUAUGCAUUGUCGCCAUAAGGUUAUGGGUUAUUCGUUCAGCUCGGUGUCAUAUGCUUAGUUUGCUUAGACCUAAUACGCGGUCACUUAAAUAGCAUCACUUGGGAGGGAUGAUUUGAAAGAUAAAUAUGGUUUAUAUUCGAAAAAUAAAAACUCUAUGGUACACGCGGGUGAUAAUAUGGUCUAGAGGUCAUGAUGAUACGAGGAUAAAAAAAGAUGGAUGAUAAAAUGAAUGGUGGAUAUGAUUUGGUCCUAUAUGCAUUUCCGGUGCAUUUUAGGGAUUCUCACCCGUGUCAAAUUAAGGACCGGAAAUUGGCAUCUUCUAGUUGAAGUAUUACAUUACAACCACAUGUACUUAAAUGGGUACACAUGUGCUUAAAUGGGUACAACCUUAGCUUAAUAAGUCAGUUGGCCUCGAGGUGGUGUUACCGCCCGAGUGCACGAGAUGCAUGUCGGUGUCGGGGUAGCUAACCCGGGCAGAUGUAUAAAGGCGCUCCUAUAGUCUGUCGUGUAGCAUAUGUCGAGUCCGACUGAGGUAAGAGCUCUGUCAUGCUCACUUGUCGGCACAUUUCGGAAAUGUGUCAAUCCGCGAUGGCAUCAAAGUGGAGCAUGUCGUGUGGGUAAAGUGUACAAACUCUACAUAGUGUUAAAAACUAUUCAAAUAGCCAUGCUCACGGUUAUGAGCAACUUGGAGCAACUUGGACUGGUCGCCAGUUAUAGAGUUUUGUUUUGUAAACUUGGAGAUGGGCUUGAAUGAUAUCACAUGCACCGGUUCAAAUAUUUUGUACCGAUAUAGUUGGUCAGAGGACCUAACGCGGUAUGGGAAAUGGUGAGUCAUGAUUGGUAAUGUCAAUCUAUUUUAAAUAUACUAAACUAAUUUAUAAAAUAUGCGUAAAAUGAUGAAUUUAAAUAAAAUGCAGCCUACUGCUAGUUGAAUCUGUCAGCCUUCCUUGUUUACCUUGCAUGUAUGAUAGGAUUUUUCUAUACACUCGAAGUCUUGCGAGUACAAAAUUGUACUCACCCUUGUUGCUUAAAUUAAAAAUCCAAAGUUCGAAGGAGAAUCGUCUCUGUUCAGUUCCGGAUGCGGGUUUUGCAACGUUGGUUCUUUCUAGGACUAACUCCCAGUCAAUUGCCUGUGGGAUGGUGAGGCACGCUACUGUAGAAUGGAAGUCCUAUAUUUCUGUUUGCUUCUGCUGUAGAUUAUAAUUUAGCUCUGAUCAAAUCUUAUUACUAACAAAUUUCGUGUGCAGUUGUGAUACAGGUGCUGUUGUGCGUACUUGCGGACUGAUCAUGGGACAAGUAUAGUAAGCACAACUGGAACUUGGGUAUUUGCGUACCCGGGGUCCUGACAGUAUGCUUGUUUCAUAGAGUGUUGAUGCUUAUUAUUGGUAUACUUUUUGUGCCAUUUAACUAGUGUUUUCAUUCAUAUUCUUAUACUAACCCGACACUUAGCACUUGAAAUAACCUCAUUAUUGCAUGUGUUGUAUUUUGAAGCAUAUUGUAUUUUGGUAGGAAAUACGACAGGGGGUUUUUAUAAAAAGCUUAAUGGGUAUUUGGACAUGGGUCAUCGAGGGAAACCAGCAUGAGGAAGGAGAGGACCAAAAGGAACAAAAAGGGCCUAAGCCAAUCAGCCUGGGAUCCUCUGGGCCGAUCGGCCUGGCCCAUUCCGGGAUCCGGUCGACCUUCCAUUUCUUCAGCGUGAAGUCUCCGACAUUGUUUAGGAUUUUUUCACCAACAUCGACCCAGAACCGCUGCCUAUAAAAGACUAUUAAUAUCCUCUCCACCGCCGCCACAAGAUUAGAAAAUGGAGAGAAGAUUGGAUCUACAGAAGACCACGCGAAGAGGAGCACCAGGAGAGGUGAAAACUCCUCAAGCUGAUCGGCUUGGAGGUGCCCAGGUCGAUCGGCCUGGGGCUUUCCUACCUCUGUUCCUCGUCGUCUUCAGUCCAGUUGAUCUACAGGACGUCCCUUACCCCCUUUUGCGUCAACAUGUGUAAUAUCAUGGGGUAAUACCUUUGUUUGUUCUCGGAAUUGUAUGGAGAUCUUGAUUUGUAAUCGCCGAACCUUUGGUUAAGAUUUGUUUUGUUAUCAUUCA